UACGGAGGGGGCUAGCGUUGUUCGGAAUUACUGGGCGUAAAGCGCACGUAGGCGGCUGUUCAAGUCAGAGGUGAAAGCCUGGAGCUCAACUCCAGAACUGCCUUUGAGACUGCAUCGCUCGAAUCCGGGAGAGGUGAGUGGAAUUCCGAGUGUAGAGGUGAAAUUCGUAGAUAUUCGGAAGAACACCAGUGGCGAAGGCGGCUCACUGGACCGGUAUUGACGCUGAGGUGCGAAAGCGUGGGGAGCAAACAGG
rnacentral:rRNA from 1 species